rnacentral:rRNA from 1 species
CCCUAAAAAGCAGUCUCAGUUCGGAUCGCAGGCUGCAACUCGCCUGCGUGAAGGUGGAGUCGCUAGUAAUCGCGGAUCGGCAACGCCGCGGUGAAUGCGUUCCCGGGCCUUGUACACACCGCCCGUCAAGUCAUGAAAGUGGGCAGCACCCGAAGACGGUGGCCUAACCCUUGUGGGGGGAGCCGUCUAAGGUGAGGCUCGUGAUUGGGACUAAGUCGUAACAAGGUACC